rnacentral:misc_RNA from 1 species
UGGCUCUCGCAUCGAUGAAGAACGCAGCGAAAUGCGAUAAGUAAUGUGAAUUGCAGAAUUCAGUGAAACAUCGAAUCUUUGAACGCACCUUGCGCUCCUUGGUAUUCCGAGGAGCAUGCCUGUUUGAGUGUCUUGAAGUCAUCAAUCCCCUCCCUGUUUUGUGGAACGGAGAGAGGUGGGUUGGAUAGGUGGGGGCUUGCUGCCGCAAGGCUGCUCCCCUCAAAUGCAUUGGUUGGGCUAGUGGGCCGAUCCCGGCUGGGCGUUGUAACCUCCUCGCUCCGGGUCGGGGGCCCCGUCUGAGCCCUCCCGUGACCUGCCCCUGGAAAGUGGCGGUCAAACCUAAAACUUUGAAAUCUGACCUCAAAUCAGGUAGGACUACCCGCUGA